rnacentral:rRNA from 1 species
GAUGAACGCUGGCGGCGUGCCUAAUACAUGCAAGUCGAGCGAACGGACGAGAAGCUUGCUUCUCUGAUGUUAGCGGCGGACGGGUGAGUAACACGUGGAUAACCUACCUAUAAGACUGGGAUAACUUCGGGAAACCGGAGCUAAUACCGGAUAAUAUUUUGAACCGCAUGGUUCAAAAGUGAAAGACGGUCUUGCUGUCACUUAUAGAUGGAUCCGCGCUGCAUUAGCUAGUUGGUAAGGUAACGGCUUACCAAGGCAACGAUGCAUAGCCGACCUGAGAGGGUGAUCGGCCACACUGGAACUGAGACGCGGUCCAGACUCCUACGGGAGGCAGCAGUAGGGAGUCUUCCGCAAUGGGCGAAAGCCUGACGGAGCAACGCCGCGUGAGUGAUGAAGGUCUUCGGAUCGUAAAACUCUGUUAUUAGGGAAGAACAUAUGUGUAAGUAACUGUGCACAUCUUGACGGUACCUAAUCAGAAAGCCACGGCUAACUACGUG